GAGAAUCAACCAUUCGAAGGUUAACGAUGCCAAGAGAAAAAGGGUAAGAACUGAAAGGCACAACACCACAUCAUUCAAAAACUUGUGCUGGAUCAAGUGAAAAAAAUAUGGAAUUGAAAUUUCGUUAUGAAUGGACCUGGGUAAGCAGGAACCAAUAAUUUAACUAGACUGAACUAGUGACAUUCAUACUCUACUGGAACUGCUACAAUUUUCUCCAUUUCCAAGCUUCCUACAUCUGUCUUUUUAGGAGCAGUGACCAUUUCCAAGCUUCCUACAUCAGCUGAUGGAGUUCUCAAUAGCAAUGUUCAUUUCAGAGGAAGGGCUCGAGAGGAACAAAAAUGGGAGGAAAAUAAGAUUGAUUGAUGGAGGUGGAAAAUAACUAGAAAAUUCCUUUUCUAUAAGGAAAAUAGCCACAAUAUUCAUGACCAUUUCCUUUUCUUUUUUUUUUGUAAUAAGGACCCAAUUAAAGUGGGCAAAUAACUACAAAAUUCUUAUGCUAGUCUCCUCACCAACAAUUGAAAAGGAAAAACUAUACGUAGCUUUCUAGAGAUAAAAUGCCAAUGUCAUUCUGGUAGUUUACAUUUUAGAAUAAUCUCUUAACAUUCUCAGCAUUUUCAGUCUCCUUACUUUGGUCACAUAAAGAAAAGGGAUGAGAAUUCUGUUUCUCCCAUAAUCAUUCUCUUGACAUCUCCCCAAACUUUUUCUUUCCAAACAAGCCCAUAGUGCUUUCUUCAAUGAACAUAGAACAUUUGCAUUCUCACUUUCUCAUUCCAUUCUACUUAUGACGGAAUUUCUCAUUUUGAACUCCAUGUCAAUGAAGAGUUGACGUCGAAUUGUCCAUAUUGGACGUAUGCACUUAACCCGAACUUAUGUAGUAGCCACUGAAAGGAUUGCAUUAGAUACCAUUGCAAACAGAGAAUGCAAUGAAGUGGAUAGGUAGACUUAAAAGAGACAAUUUGACCAUUGCCUGCCAAUUGUCAACUAGCUCCAUGCACAUGAGGGAGACAUGCCAACUUUAU
rnacentral:lncRNA from 1 species